GCGGGGUAGCUCAGUUGGUUAGAGCGCUGGACUCAUAAUCCAGAGGUCGAGGGUUCAAAUCCCUCCCACCGCA
rnacentral:tRNA from 2 species